rnacentral:rRNA from 1 species
GUCAAAUCAUCAUGGCCUUUAUGCCCAGGGCGACACACGUGCUACAAUGGCCGGUACAAAGGGCUGCGAAACCGCAAGGUGGAGCCAAUCCCAGAAAACCGGUCCCAGUUCGGAUUGAAGUCUGCAACCCGACUUCAUGAAGUUGGAAUCGCUAGUAAUCGCGCAUCAGCCAUGGCGCGGUGAAUACGUUCCCGGACCUU